ACCCGCUGAACUUAAGCAUAUCAAUAAGCGGAGGAAAAGAAACUAACAAGGAUUCCCCUAGUAACGGCGAGUGAAGCGGGAAAAGCUCAAAUUUAAAAUCUGGCGGUCUACGGCCGUCCGAGUUGUAAUCUAGAGAGGUGUUUUCCGUGCCGGACCGUGUAAAAGUCCCUUGGAACAGGGCGUCAUAGAGGGUGAGAAUCCCGUCCAUGACACGGACUACCGGUGCUCUGUGAUACACCUUCAAAGAGUCGAGUUGUUUGGGAAUGCAGCUCAAAAUGGGUGGUAAAUUCCAUCUAAAGCUAAAUAUAGGCGAGAGACCGAUAGCGAACAAGUACCGUGAGGGAAAGAUGAAAAGAACUUUGGAAAGAGAGUUAAACAGUACGUGAAAUUGUUGAAAGGGAAACACUUGAAGUCAGUCGCGUCUGCUGGGACUCAACCUUGCUUUUGCCUGGUGUACUUCUCAGUAGAUGGGCCAGCAUCAAUUUUGGGCGCCGGAAAAGGAUUUGAGGAAUGUGGCAGCUUGCUGUGUUAUAGCCUCUUGUCGUACACGGUGCUUGGGAUUGAGGACUGCAGCACGCCUUUUGGUCGGGGUUCUCCCACGCCACGUGCUUAGGAUGCUGGCGUAAUGGCUUUAAAUGACCCGUCUUGAAACACGG
rnacentral:rRNA from 1 species